rnacentral:rRNA from 1 species
GACGAACGCUGGCGGCGUGCUUAACACAUGCAAGUCGAACGGAAAGGCCCUGCUUUUGUGGGGUGCUCGAGUGGCGAACGGGUGAGUAACACGUGAGUAACCUGUCCUUGACUUUGGGAUAACUUCAGGAAACUGGGGCGAAUACCGGAUAGGAGCUCCUGCUGCAUGGUGGGGGUUGGAAAGUUUCGGCGGUUGGGGAUGGACUCGCGGCUUAUCAGCUUGUUGGUGGGGUAGUGGCUUACCAAGGCUUUGACGGGUAGCCGGCCUGAGAGGGUGACCGGCCACAUUGGGACUGAGAUACGGCCCAGACUCCUACGGGAGGCAGCAGUGGGGAAUAUUGCACAAUGGGCGGAAGCCUGAUGCAGCAACGCCGCGUGCGGGAUGACGGCCUUCGGGUUGUAAACCGCUUUCGCCUGUGACGAAGCGUGAGUGACGGUAAUGGGUAAAGAAGCACCGGCUAACUACGUG